rnacentral:rRNA from 1 species
GAUGAACGCUGGCGGCGUGCCUAAUACAUGCCAGUCGAGCGAACAGACGAGGAGCUUGCUCCUCUGACGUUAGCGGCGGACGGGUGAGUAACACGUGGAUAACCUACCUAUAAGACUGGGAUAACUUCGGGAAACCGGAGCUAAUACCGGAUAAUAUAUUGAACCGCAUGGUUCAAUAGUGAAAGACGGUUUUGCUGUCACUUAUAGAUGGAUCCGCGCCGCAUUAGCUAGUUGGUAAGGUAACGGCUUACCAAGGCAACGAUGCGUAGCCGACCUGAGAGGGUGAUCGGCCACACUGGAACUGAGACACGGUCCAGACUCCUACGGGAGGCAGCAGUAGGGAAUCUUCCGCAAUGGGCGAAAGCUUGACGGAGCAACGCCGCGUGAGUGAUGAAGGUCUUCGGAUCGUAAAACUCUGUAUUAGGGAAGAACAAAUGUGUAAGUAACUAUGCACGUCUUGACGGUACCUAAUCAGAAAGCCACGGCUAACUACGUG